AGUGGCUCACGCCUGUAAUCCCAGCAGUGGGAGGCUGAGCCCGUGCACCACCAGCGGGUCCAGCUACAAACCCAGUUGCCAAUACAGCCUAAGGACGAGCCUGCCCACAACUAUUCCAGUUCCAUUUGGCACAGCCAGGGGCAGGGACAGAAGGGCCCUGCAGGACUCCGCCUCCCCACCUCUGCACAGAUCCUCUCUCCUUUCCCCUAAUACUCCCAUCAUCCUCCUUUUAGCUUCUUAGAGGAAUCAGCAGCUCAGCUUAGCUUAGAUUUAGCUGAUCAAUCCCAAAGAAGGAUGUGGCUCAUCCUCUUGGCCAUCCCUGGAGUCGCAGCACACGCUUGGCUGGUGUGGGUCCACAGAGGUUCUCAUGGGUGGGCCCAGCAGAGGGGCCCCUCAGGAGAGGGAUUCUAGGGAGCUAGACUGAGACAAGCCUGGCCCUGACUGUCGCCUCCUGCCUUCUGGUCCUGGCCAUUCCUGCCCCUUUCUCUCUCCAGAGCUUGGGAGGAGUCAGAACAUUGCUCUAGCCGCUGGUGAUCUCUCCUGGUUGCCAACCCUCCUGGCCAUGACUGAUCUCCCCACUG
rnacentral:lncRNA from 1 species